UACGGGGGGGGCAAGCGUUGUUCGGAAUUACUGGGCGUAAAGGGCUGGUAGGCGGCCAACUAAGUCGGAUGUGAAAUCCCCGGGCUUAACCCGGGAGCUGCCUCUGAUACGGCAUGGCUUGAGUCCGGGAGAGGAGAGCAGAAUUCCCAGUGUAGCGGUGAAAUGCGUAGAUAUCUGGAGGAACACCGGUGGCGAAGGCGGCAUCCUGGACCGGUAUUGACACUGAGGCGCGAAAGCCAGGGGAGCAAACGGG
rnacentral:rRNA from 1 species